AACCAGCCUAUUGUCAAAACAAUAUAAAGACAGCCCAUUUACUGCUGUGCCAAGCACAGCACUAUAGAUUCUAUUCUCGGCUACCACAGAGCCCCGUACAAUAUUUUUACUUCUCCCCUGCUGUGCCGCACACAAGACACUUCUUUACCGGUCCUGUUCUUAUCAUGGCAAUUAAAUGGUAUAGGCAGUUCACUUGGUGGAGCCUUGCUUAUUUCAUCUUCAUUGGGUUCAAAUUAGCCUCUUCCAGUUUAAGGAACCGAGUCUACCGAUAAUCCCGCAGAAAUGAAUGAGAGCAUCCUGGAUUCUACUUGAAAAAGGUCAGGCUUCUCCUUUUGGUGCUUUGCUAUGGUUUUUCGGUUGAGCUUGGCAAAAACCUUUGCUCGGUUCCUACCGUUCCUGGGGCCAAGGGCCGCUUUGCUGGAGGAAAAGUGCUCCCCAAUUUAGACGGGAACCUGUUUCGGAAAGAACACCAUUCAUUUCAGCGUCUCUCCAUCGUUGGCGUCACCUUCUCCCCUCUCAAAAAGGGGCUGUAGAAUUUGGAGGGGAAAAUUAGAUCAGCACAGGCCUGCAGGGAGAAGGGGCUGGCCUGCAGAAAUGUAACAGAGGAGCUAGAAUGGCCCUUCUGACUCUUGCUAGGAUCCGCCGGUCCAUUCACUGACUUCGGUUUCUUCCCCGCCUGAUUUAGCAGUCAGCCCUAUGAUCUCUCCCUUUUAUUCACCCCCGAAUAUUUUUAGACAAACAGGCAGCGCCCCGGCAUCCGGAAGGGAACUCCACAGAGAAAGCUGUCAAUGUCAUCGAGGCCACUUUGAUUCACCACAGGCAUCUUCUAAAGGACUCAAUCCACUCAAAACUCAGAAAGGCCGUGUGCUGCUGCACGAUAUCCGCUUGCCUUCUCUGGAAACAACAGUGGGACACUGCAGCUGCGGCCGAGACAACGCACCAGGUUGUGUGUGCUACAGAAUCCUGCGUUCAGAGAAGAGGUUGCUGGCUAAGCAGUUUUGAGGAUCCUUUUUUCAAAAAAGCACCAAGAAAAGUUCCCUUUCAGAUUUCACUACCUGCCGGGUUGAGAAAGGUUACAACGGCAUAGACAAAAGCAAACAGUGUUUACUAGUAGCCACAGACUGUAGACCACUGUUUUCAGGCUCCACAUGGGUUCCCCCCACUCCAUCCCCAAUCCAUUUUGGAUGAAGAGAAUAACUAUGUAUCCCAGUGGGUGAGAGAAGAGUGGCUAGUAUUCAGGGAGAGAUGCUUCGCGUGCAGAACACUGGUUCCAGCAGAAAACUAAAUGCUCCUAAUUCCCCUACCAAGAUGGCUCAUCUCCUUAAAUUCAUUAAGUACGAAUUCUAUUUUUUUACUUAACGGUGAUUGGUUGGAGCGAUAUCUUCAAGAUAAUUCUCAGGAACGACGCUACUCACUAAGCCCCUUAUAUGGAAUACUUGUCGUCCUUUCCUGCUGCUUAAAGGACUGAGCUACUCAUCGCAGCACUGUCACGCUCGUUUUUACCAAUCGGAAUGUGGUUAAUCUGACCGAGAAAUACAAAAAUCACUCGAGCAAGUCACCCUCCGACGUGAUCUAAUCUAAGCAUACAGCUGGCUGGCUGCCAAGAUCAACGAUCCCCAUGGAGUAAAUACUGCUCAAAGGACAGCCAUUUGUGAUUGGCUUGCUUUUAUCCAGUUGAGAUCCAGUUCUUGUGCUUUCCUAUGUAAACAAUGAUGGAGUAUCUCUCUAGUCCAAAACUAUCUUUGGGCUAGCAAUCUGGGGUCCUUAUUCAGUGACCUUUUCCCCAGCCUCCAAAAGAGGAAGCUUUCUACCCAGCCCAACCCACAACUCUGCAGUCAAAAUCUACCAGCUGGACCAGUUCACACAUUGCAACUUUAGGCUCAAAGUCCAAGAACACAGGCUCACAGAACAGACUUUGAACCAGGUAAUCGACGCACCUCAACCCUAACUUGAGACACCAAACACUGGCCACGUGUUUCUACUUCAAACCCCAAGUAUCAACGGGAUCCUGGCGAACACAAAAUUGUCUUCGAUUCUGCUACACAAAUACCUUCAUCUUCUUCGCUCUCUUCUUCUGUGUCCUCAUCCUCAUCCCCUCCCUCUGCACCUUCUCCAUCAUCUCCAUCUUCAGAGUCGGAUUCCUCGAGCCACUCUUGGGUUUCUGUAACAGCAAAAUAAACUCACGUGGUUUUUAAAUUAGACCUCAGGAAUGCCACAGGAGAAUUACAUGUUACCUGGUGCUUUCCUCUGAGAAUUCAAUGCUCUACUCAACAGUUGAACUGUUUAUUAUGGAAACAGAUGGUUUGAAGUAUAUCUCUUUCGCUCCCUGAUCAUCCUUGAGAAUCAGAUGCAAGAUGAGGCAAGAUAUACGAGUUUUUCCCCACUGUGUACAUUAGAUUGGAACAAAGAAUCCCACAUUGGCAAAAGAAAAAUUAGAUAAAGCAAAAACUCACUGCAUGAUAUAAUGUUGAAAUGAGUGCCACCAAGGAAGAUGGGAGGGUCAAGAGAUGUGAGAAGCAAUGACUCAAAGCUUUUGGGUGUAACUCAUCUCCCCUCUCAUUAGAUCACCCAAACAAGCGGCAUUUAGGAAUUGGUUUACCAUUGGAGAGCUGCAAUAGGAAGGAGUCACGAAAGAAAUAAAGUAUUCUCCCCACUCAAAAGUAGCACGGUCUUAAAAUGCAUUAUUUUCUAAUCUUUAAAUGUGGGAGUCAUAUGGAUUUGUUCAAAAGAUGUUGCUACUGUAUUUUUUCCUGAAGAGGAAGAGAAAGAAAAAGAAGAGUGAGAAAGGAGGAGAGAGAGAGAGCAAGCAGGGCCAGAAUGGACUGAUUGUACCAAAGGGAUGCAGAAAGACCUCCCUCCCUCUCAGACCUCCCUAAGGCAAAAUCUAGGAAAAAGUAUUUAAUGAAAAGAAUAAACAUGCUUCUGCUCCUUGGGGCAAUUUCAAUAAAAACUACGAAUUAUCAUUGCUGAAACUUUUCAGAAUGCCAAACUUUGAAUCGCCUACGAGUAGCAACCCUAACAGUGUGAAAUCGGAGGUAAUGGGCCUGACCGGGCAAAAUUUCUAGGGAGCUUUGACUUUCUUGCAAAAAAGGACAAAGUAGCUGAGUCUGAUUAUCUCCAUACAUCUACCUUCCUUCAACCAACUAAUGGAACAUUCUAGAUGUCCAAGGCCACCAAUGCCCUGAUAAUCGAUGCCACCCUGUCACCAGUGGGCAUCCCUCAGACCCAAGGGAGGAGGUGAAAGGGGGGCGAAGGGAUGCUGUGGCAGAAUCAGAGCACAGAGGAGUGAAAACGGUGAGAGCCCGGUAGGUCAGAGAACUGAAAUGGAACAGCCUGAUCACUUUUAUUUCUUGCCCAUUCCCCAGUGUCAUAUGAGUAAUACUUUCUAACCCUUUCAGUGUGGUGAACCUGCUGCCCGGGCCCCACCCGAACGACUGUUGCUAGGGCUGCUAAUUUUAAAUCCUCAACAAAUAAAAAUCUUGUUUACAAUUUUC